UCAAGGGAAGGGUGCCUCUGACCACUGGCAACCAAGUCCCUCACCCUUGUCCCACACCUGCUGACUUUCUAAACUUCUGUGCUCUGGACUGUGCUGGGUACACCUGACAUCACCUCGAUGACCAUGUCUUUCAGAGCCCCAUUAGCGGUGCCAUGGUCCGAGAAGCAGAAGGAGCCACCACAGAGCCAGGCUCAAGGACUCUGGGACUAACAGGUCUUCGGGAAGAUGCCUGGCCAGGAGCUAGGGGGCCACCAGCUGACAAGAGCUGCCACCAGACAGGUAGAAGGUGUCAGAUGUCAAUGGCCAUGCUGGCCUAAGCUACCUCUGUGAACAGUGUAGCCCAGAAGAGCCAGCACAGAUGCCUCCCACCUGUCAGCCCUGUCGUCCCCCAUCUUGUCACACGUCCCAGCAAUGGGGUCUCGCUAUGUUGCCCGGGCUGGUCUCAAACACCUGCACUCCUGCUAUAUCCUCCAGCCUCAGCCUCCCAAUGUGCUGGGAUUACAGACGUGAGCCACCACUCUCAGCCCAAUGUAUAAUUCUCAGUAUGAUGAAAGAUGAUGGAAUCUUGGCCAAGGUGGCAGAGCUGGGUUUAAGGCCAUGGGAAUAUUACAGCUGAAAGCAAAGGUGAAUUCAGCGGAUGCAUGAACAGGCAAAAGGGAAAAUGAGCCAUGCCUGGAGCUACAGAGCUGAUUGAGUAACACAGCCUGGAGAAGGAUGAGUCAAAGGCAAGACACCCAGACAGGAUAUAUCUGAGAAUUGUGUGACCGGGUGAUUUUGUGGUUGUGCAAACAUGAUAGAGUGACUUACACAAACCGAGAUGACCGAGCCUACUCCACACACAGGCUGUACGGUGUGGCCUAUCACAGUGGUAACACAACGGUAAGUAUUUCUACCUCUGAACAUUUCCAGACAUAGAAAAGCUACAAUAGAGGCCAGGCGCGGUGGCUCACGCCUGUAAUCCCAGCACUUUGGAGGCUGAGGCGGGUGGAUCACAAGGUCAAGAGAUCGAGACCAUCCUGGUCAACAUGGUGAAACCCCGUCUCUACUCAAAAUACAAAAAAUUAGCUGGGCAUGGUGGUGCACGCCUGUAGUCCCAGCUACUCGGGAGGCUGAGGCAGGGGAAUUGCCUGAUCCGAGGAGGGGGAGGUUGCGGUGAGCCGAGAUCGCGCCAUUGCUCUCCAGCCUGGGUAACAAGAGCGAAACUCCGUCUCAAAAAAAAAGGUACAGUAGAAACAUGGCACUGUAACUUGGCCCACCUUCGUGUAUGCGGGCUGUUGCUGAUGGAAACGUCUCUGUGCAGCACAGGACUGCAGCUUGUUCCCACAAGAAGCCCAGUAGAGAGUGAGAGGGGUGCAGAAAAGGCAAAAAGGAAAGAGAAAGAGAAACGAGAGGGAAAAUAUAAGCCAAGGGGGAAAGUAGAAACCAAAGGUUGCCUUUAGGCUAAGCAAGGGGUCGGGUAAAGCCAGCAAGCUGGCCUGGGGGGACAGAGGAGGAAGGAAGGAAGGCCCCCUAUACCGGAGGUGCCCCGCCACCCUCCCACACCCUGGGCCUCUGAGGCUCUGGGUGUUCCUUCUCCCCGGGCUGUGCUCCUCCUCCGCUUUCCUCCUCCUCCCCUGUCCAGGUGGAGUUUUUCAAUGCACAGUCAAUUCCCAAUUAUGGGCUGGAGCCUCCUGGGAAAUCCACUCUUGUUCCUCAAACCCUCCGGGGCCAGAUCUGGGCUCCACAGGUAUCCCUGUGAUGAGGGUGCCUCCUGUGUGCCCCGCCUCUUCCAGCCCUUCCUGAUGGGCGUCUGGGAGCCCUGGCUUACCGUGAGAGGUGCAUGCAGAAACUCCUGCUGUCACUGGGGCUGCCUCCUGUCACCUGGUGAGGAUUCUGUCCACUUUUGCUCUGUUUUGAGGCAUCUGUAUGAUUUGGGGUGCAUUUAGGUUCAGAAUUAUUACAUCUUCCACAUGAAUCACACUUCAGGACAUUAAAUGGUGGCUUCUUUAGUACAUCAGGAAAUAUUUUCUGACGCCUACCGUGGGGCCAGCCUGUUCUAAACGUCGGGGUCAGUGCCAGGUUCCACCUGGUGUGAAAGGUGCGGGCGCCUCCUGCUCUGGUCGCACCUGGGGAGUCCGCUGACCAGGCAGUCUGCUGGCUUGAGUUGAGUCCUCCAGGUGAGCAGCUGUGCGCAAACAGACGUUUUACCUCCUCUUUUGUAAGGUUUAUAUCACAUCUUUCAUUUUUUGGCCUUACUGCAUUUUCUAAAACGGUUCAGAAACAGCAUUUUAUUUUAGUUCCUGAGACAUGUUUUCAUCAAUUUAUUUACAUACAAUCUUUCAUGGUCAUUUCUCUUUAGAGGUAUCUUUUAUAAACAUUGUAUUACUGGACCUUGGUUUCUUAACAAAUAUGAAAUUACCGGUCUUUCUGUAGGGAAAUUUAAUCCACUCGCAUUUCUGUGGUCACUAAUAUUUUAUUUUAAUCCAUUCACAACUCAUUUAUUUUCUUUUCUUGUAAUUAUGAUUUAUAUCAUUUUUUUUUCCUUUACUAGUGCUUGGAGAAUCAAUUUUCUCUUCCUCUUCUAGUAAUUGGAAGUUCUCCAUUUUGCUUCUUUCUAUUAGUUAAACUCUUAUGUAUUUAGAAAUGUUACUUCUAAGGAUCUUAAAAUGGGGAGAUUAUCUGGAACUAUCUAGGUGGGUCCAGUACAAACACCAGAGUUCUUGUAGGGGAAAGAGGGAGGUCACAGGUCCUAGAGAAUGGGACAGAAGGAAGAGAAGACAGGGAGGCUGAGACAUUGGGAUGCUGCAUUGCUGGCUCUGAGGAUGGAAGAAGGCAGUCCUGCCCUGGGCCGUGGGCUGGAGACAGCAGGCUUCUGCUGGAACCAGGAACAGCAGGACUGUGAACAGAAUACAGCCACCAUCCUCAGCAGCGUUGCCAGCACACAUCCACUCUGACCUACUAGGCAAAGCUUAGGAGAAGGAACAAAACACAUAGUGGGUGGUGGGUGUGGGGGAAGCUUCGCAACCUGCAUCACAGGAUGAACAUAGGAAGUGAGUCCUGCUGAAACCGGUGCAUGUCGGAAGCGUGGUGGGCUCCUGGUGUGAGCAAGGGCCUCGGCUCCCUCCCUCCCUCCCUCCCCAGGUUGCAUACAUCAGCGGAGCCUCCACUUCUGCACGUGAGUGGUUGGCUUCUCUCUCACUUUGAUACAUGCUGUGGAAAAACAGUUCAAGGCAAGACCACCAGCUUCUCGCGGGGUUGCUGUGGGAGAGCACCUUCUCUGUAGAACUUCUGGGGCCACCUCGGGCUGGUGGGCCAGGAUGGACUGAUUGAUUUCUCUGUCUGUCUCCAGACCUCUGUCCCUUCCCUCUGACCUCCCCCAGAUUUCUCCAGAAACCACCUAAAGCGCUUCUCCAUCUAUGGGAUUCAGGGUCUCCUGAACGGCAGGUCUCCCAAGAGGCUGCCGAGUCCACACCUUGAGAGUUCCCUUUCAGAGCAAACGAGCCUGGGAGAGAAAACAGUUCACCACCCCUUCUUUCACAGACCCAUCAUUUACUGGCCACUUCCCAAGGCAGACGUGAAGCUGCAAGCACAGCCCCAGCUGGGGACAGUGCCCGGCACAGCCAGGCUCCCUGUGAGCAUGGGCACUGGCCUGCAGUCAGCACCUCUGGGCUGCAGCUCGCGUUUGGGAGAGUUGUCUAACCUUCCUGGCACUCAGCCGUCUCUCUGGGACAGAUGGGAUGGUCUGAUUCAGUGAUCCUCCUUCUGGAAGGGUCCUCACAUCUUGCUUCGGGGAUUGCUGAACUAGGGAAGACCCUGUGGGGAUUUCUCUCUUCAUCACAUCUCCCUUCGUCAGAGGCAAAUGUGGGGGACUUUGAGCAGUUCUCGGCCUGCAGCCUGGCCCUGGGUCUUGUCUUAGAGUUGAAGUUCGCUGUAACAUUUAGCAAGUUAAAUCUGACCUUGCCACAGAGCAGGCAUGCCGACCGCCUGCACAGCGCACCCGCGGGGACGAGCCCGCUGUGUGAAAGCCCCAGAGGCGCGUCACUGCAGUGUCUCUGGUGUCGAGAUCGCUGGGACAGGGGGUGGGGGCCCUGGGGAGGAAAAGGAACCGCAUCUUCACCCUCCCACGGCUGUCUCCCUCAGAGAGGCCCCCGGACUCACACCCCUCCUCACAUCCAGGAAAGCACAGGAGCCGCAGAUGCCCCCUGUGUUUAGGUAAAACCAGAGGCUCCUGAACUCCCUCCCUCCCUCCCGCUACCCCAAAGUGAGAACUUUCUGUUCUUUGACAAGGGAGUUGGAGUCUCUCUUUGUCCCUGGCCUGCUUUGAAGUUGCAACAAUCAAACUGCGUCAGCUCAGGAACAAAAGGAACCUGAGAAGUGACAUUUCUCCUCUGGUAAAAGGAAGUCUGCCGCCGGCCGGUGGGAGGAGGCAGCAGAGGCGAGGAUGGGCACCGUGCCACUCUUCCAUCAGUGCCAGGCCCCUGGCUUGACCCCAUCAGUGAUUCACAAAAGUGUCCAAAUACAUCCAUGACCCAGAUGGAGAAAGACCACUGCCCUCCCAUUCAAGGGCACUGAAGCGGCUCCACCUGCCCACGCUGCUCAUUGCCCAGAUGGGAGCAGCCCUGUCUGAAGUGGGAGGCAGAAUUUCCUUCCAAGCUGCUGGUGAGCCGCGGAGGGCUGAGCUGCAGAGCGAAGGCCUUAGAGCCAGAACAUGGCAGAGCUGGAACAGGAGUUGCCUUCUGAGCUGGCCUCUGGCUGCACCCCUGCUCUUUUCCAGGCCAGCCACCUGGAAUUCAGAUGCAGGGUCCCUGAGAUUACUGCAGAGCCAGCCUCUGCUCUGACCUCACUUCCCACUGGCCAGUCUAGCUCCCAUGGCCCAGUCAAGAUGUUGAAAUUCAUUUUCCUUGUGCUAAAACACGGCUAAGAAAGGAAGUGAUUAGCUAGGACUGACCACCAGGGAGCCAAGCACUGCCAGCCAGAAGAGAUGGGGAGAAUACUGACAGGAGAGGUCUCCCUGCACUCCCCAGCCUCUCCGCCUCCCCCUACCCAAGCCUGGCCCCACAGCUACAGGCAGUUACCCAGACCACAAGGCUCCUUUGAUGAUGCCCCAUUUCCCUGGUCAUUCCCUGUCCUCUGUUCCACGCAGCUUCCUUAGACGCUGGUCCUCCCACAGCUCAGGCUGAGCCUGCCAGGCUGCAACCAAGGAGGAGGGAGGUGCCAGUCACUGGGGAGCAGCCCUGGCUCAGGUGGGACAAUGGUGUGUGUGUGUGUGUGUGUGUGUGAGAGAGAGAGAGAGAGAGAGAGAAAGAGAGAGAGAGAGAGAGAGGCAGAGACACACAGAGAGAGAGGAGUUUCUGAAAAUGGGGUACUGACCCCAGCACAGGGAUGCUUCCUGCAUGACUGGAGUCAUGGUGUAGGAGCAGAGGAGGGCAGAAGGCUUCAUGUGGAGAGCAUCUAGCAGCUCUAGGCAGGGUGGGAGCACAAAGGCACUGUCAGCCAUCACCACCACCAGGAAGGCUGCCAGGUCUGCAGAGAGGACUGUCUAGACACUGAAUUUGACUCUGUUCUUCUGGAGGCCCCACACCAGUCCCCUCAUGGGGAAGGACAGAUGCUUAGGUGGGCCUGAAGAUGGGCUCCCAUCCACCCUGUGGGGGGUGGAUGGCGCUGAGUGGACCCAGCCCCAGCGCGCCCAGCCCUGUGGCAGGUGGAUGGCGCUGAGUGGACCCAGCCCCAGCGCGCCCAGCCCUGUGGCAGGUGGAUGGCGCUGAGUGGACCCAGCCCCAGCGCGCCCAGCCCUGUGGCAGGUGGAUGGCGCUGAGUGGACCCAGCCCCAGUGCGCCCAGCCCUGUGGCAGGUGGAUGACGCUGAGUGGACCCAGCCCCAGCGCGCCCAGCCCUGUGGCAGGUGGAUGGUGCUGAGUGGACCCAGCCCCAGUGUGCCCAGCCGAGGCUUGUAAACUCAGCAGUUUAUCUUUGUUACUUCUCUUUGAUCUAUUAAAAAAAAAAAAACCAGCUAAUUUUGGGAGUAAGAAAAAUGCACCAAGUAAUGGCAUAGUGUGGAUUAUGCUUCAAGUCUAGUUUAUGGCCCUUUGGUGAUGAGGAAAAAAGGGAAUUAUCUGGCUGUGGUUUAUACAGUGGGCACUGACUGAGCUGGAGGAUGCUGGAGGGGGACAAGGUCAUUAUUUUUGACGCUUCCACCCUUAGCUGCCCAUCUCAUCCCGGGUCCUGCCAGGAAAUUGGAGACAAAUUCCACAGGGUAUCUGAGGAGAGGUAACAGAGGGAUAUUUGCCAAGGAAAACCAACAAGGGAGGGUAAAGGACCCACAGUUAGUGAAAGGGGCACGUGCACCAUCUCUAGACCCCACGGGUGAAGGACGCAGUGGUGGCCAAGCCCAGUGUGUUAGUUUCCCACGGCUGCUGAACAAAUACCACCACCUUGGCAGCUGACAGCAUGA